CGCAUGGCAAGUUAACUUAGUAAUAACUUAAUCUUUUACCGAUAAAUUGGUGUUCUUGUAUUAAUAUGAGAGAACAAAACCAUAUUAUUAUUCUUAACUGAGCUUUGUUAUGUGACGCUAGAGAUGUGUAGAAUUUCAAUACGAUAGUAUCGUGCAUUCCCGUUUUCGCGCAUUUCGGAUUUUUCCAAAAUGAUAACAAUCCUUUGCUCGAUUGCGUUGGUAAUUGGCCCGAUUGAGUUCAUGUAGUCCAUCAAGGCGUCCAAAUCGAAAGGACCAAACCUGGGAAAAAAGAUUAUUACUCUUUACAGAAACAAACAUUUUUUUUAUCGCGCUUACUCU